AGAUGGUUUGAGGGCUUCGGGUCGGGACUUGGGCAAAGGCAAAUCAUUUGGAGUAGACGAAAAGCGACGAUGCGCAUAAAUUGUUGGCACAAACACACACACACAGGCGUACACCAGCGGUCAUACAUAUAGGGCUCAAGAAGUUUGAAGCAGGCGUCCAAAAUGCUUGAGUUGUGCUUCUGCUUUGAGGGAUUAUACCUGCCGGAAUACUGGAGGAAGACCACAUCCCACAUUCCUUGGCCAAGUCGACGCUGAAAGCUCAUCUCUAGGGAUUUCUGCCUCAAAAUUAUGAUUUAUUCUUACGUUAUAAUUUUCUUUCUCUUUCGCCGGCUCUCGCUCGUUUUCCUGUAGUUACUGAUACUGAAUUUUGGAUUUAAGUCGAAAAUUCGUGCCUUGUCGUGGCCCCCAAGGCAGUAUUUUACCAUUUAAUCGCCGAUGCUAUUUCUCUAUAUAUACGAGUCCCGUUUGUGUGCUUGAUAUCCCCAUAAUGUGACGCAAAGUGGAACCAGAGGUGUUUCCUGUCCCUCGGAGCACAUCGAUUCUCCUUUCCUGUCAAGCGAAAAGGUUCGAACACUGC
ensembl:ncRNA lncRNA:CR45976 long non-coding RNA:CR45976